AUUGAGAGUUUGAUCCUGGCUCAGGACGAACGCUGGCGGCGUGCCUAACACAUGCAAGUCGAGCGAUGAAGUUUCCUUCGGGAAACGGAUUAGCGGCGGACGGGUGAGUAACACGUGGGUAACCUGCCUUGUAGAGGGGGAUAGCCUUCCGAAAGGAAGAUUAAUACCGCAUAAGAUUGUAGUUUCGCAUGAAACAUCAAUUAAAGGAGCAAUCCGCUACAAGAUGGACCCGCGGCGCAUUAGCUAGUUGGUGAGGUAACGGCUCACCAAGGCGACGAUGCGUAGCCGACCUGAGAGGGUGAUCGGCCACAUUGGGACUGAGACACGGCCCAGACUCCUACGGGAGGCAGCAGUGGGGAAUAUUGCACAAUGGGGGAAACCCUGAUGCAGCAACGCCGCGUGAGUGAUGAAGGUUUUCGGAUCGUAAAGCUCUGUCUUUGGGGAAGAUAAUGACGGUACCCAAGGAGGAAGCCACGGCUAACUACGUGCCAGCAGCCGCGGUAAUACGUAGGUGGCGAGCGUUAUCCGGAUUUACUGGGCGUAAAGGGAGCGUAGGCGGAUGAUUAAGUGGGAUGUGAAAUACCCGGGCUCAACUCGGGUGCUGCAUUCCAAACUGGUUAUCUAGAGUGCAGGAGAGGAGAGUGGAAUUCCUAGUGUAGCGGUGAAAUGCGUAGAGAUUAGGAAGAACACCAGUGGCGAAGGCGACUCUCUGGACUGUAACUGACGCUGAGGCUCGAAAGCGCGGGGAGCAAACAGGAUUAGAUACCCUGGUAGUCCACGCCGUAAACGAUGAAUACUAGGUGUGGGGGUUUCAACACCUCCGUGCCGCCGCUAACGCAUUAAGUAUUCCACCUGGGGAGUACGCCGGCAACGGUGAAACUCAAAGGAAUUGACGGGGGCCCGCACAAGCGGAGGAACAUGUGGGUUUAAUUCGAUGAUACGCGAGGAACCUUACCCGGGCUUAAAUUGCACUGGACAGUUCUGGAAACAGAACCUUCUUCGGACCAGUGUGAAGGUGCUGCAUGGUUGUCGUCAGCUCGUGCCGUGAGGUGUCGGCUUAAGUGCCAUAACGAGCGCAACCCUUGUGACUAGUUACUAACAGGUCAAGCUGAGGACUCUAGUCAGACUGCCAUCGUAAGAUGUGAGGAAGGUGGGGAUGACGUCAAAUCAGCACGGCCCUUACGUCCGGGGCUACACACGUGUUACAAUGGGGGGUACAGCAGGCCGCUACCUGGCGACAGGAUGCCAAUCCCGAAAACCCCUCUCAGUUCGGACUGGAGUCUGCAACCCGACUCCACGAAGCUGGAUUCGCUAGUAAUCGCGCAUCAGCCACGGCGCGGUGAAUACGUUCCCGGGCCUUGUACACACCGCCCGUCAAGCCAUGGGAGCCGGGGGUACCUGAAGUACGUAACCGCAAGGAGCGUCCUAGGGUAAAACUGGUGACUGGGGCUAAGUCGUAACAAGGUAGCCGUAAAU
rnacentral:rRNA from 1 species